ACUGUCCCUACAGUUGUUGCAAGUGUGGCCGCUGUGUCGCAUGUACCUCAGUAGGGGAUAGAGGAGAGGCUGUGUCUAUGCACGGUGUUCUGAUCUACGGACAUCUGAAUGAGUAGAAGCCUAAUACU
ensembl:snoRNA LOC120098690 small nucleolar RNA SNORA17